CCGUACUUCUUUCCGCUCCGUA
rnacentral:miRNA from 10 species